rnacentral:rRNA from 1 species
CACUCCUACGGGAGGCAGCAGUGGGGAAUUUUGGACAAUGGGCGAAAGCCUGAUCCAGCAAUGCCGCGUGAGUGAAGAAGGCCUUCGGGUUGUAAAGCUCUUUUGUCAGGGAAGAAACGGUGAAAGCUAAUAUCUUUUGCUAAUGACGGUACCUGAAGAAUAAGCACCGGCUAACUACGUGCCAGCAGCCGCGGUAAUACGUAGGGUGCAAGCGUUAAUCGGAAUUACUGGGCGUAAAGCGUGCGCAGGCGGUUUUGUAAGUCUGAUGUGAAAUCCCCGGGCUCAACCUGGGAAUUGCAUUGGAGACUGCAAGGCUAGAAUCUGGCAGAGGGGGGUAGAAUUCCACGUGUAGCAGUGAAAUGCGUAGAUAUGUGGAGGAACACCGAUGGCGAAGGCAGCCCCCUGGGUCAAGAUUGACGCUCAUGCACGAAAGCGUGGGGAGCAAACAGGAUUAGAAACCCGUGUAGUCCCAUG